rnacentral:tRNA from 1 species
UACAUACUAGCUCAAUAGUAGAGCUAUCGUCUCUAAAACGAUAAGUUGCAGGUGCGAUUCCUGCGGUGUAACCA